rnacentral:misc_RNA from 1 species
AUGUCUCUCGAGACACGUUCGAGCUCGGCCCUGUUCAAGCGAGCCGAACAGCUCAAGCGCUGGGAACAGUCGGAGACAAAUCGCGAGCCCGCACAGCCGCGCCAAGUCGCGCGCAAGAUCAAAUUCUCCGCCGACAUCGUGUUCCUGGCGGCGUGCGCGGCCAGCGACAAGGACGAAGUCGUGCGUCUGCUGCAGAAGGGGGCGGACAUCAAUACCGGGAACGUCGACGGUCUCACCGCGCUACACCAGGCCUGCAUUGAUGAUGACCUGGAUAUGGUGGAAUUUUUGGUGGAACAAGGAGCGGAUAUCAAUCGUGGAGAUAAUGAAGGCUGGACACCCUUACACGCAACAGCAUCUUGUGGAUUCAUAUCUAUUGCUAAAUACUUAAUAGAACAAGGAUGUAAUCUGGCAGCAGUAAACAAUGAUGGUGAAUUGGCGCUGGAUAUCGCAGAAAGCGACGAGAUGGAAGACAUGCUCCAACAGCAUAUAAAUAAAGCAGGCAUUGAUUGUGAUCAAGCCAGAAGCGAAGAGGAACGAUCAAUGUUAAAUGAUGCAAAAGCUUGGCGAUCAGGGGCGCCAGGCAAAGAUUCUACACAUCCAAGAUCAGGAGCCACUGCACUUCAUGUCGCUGCUGCCAAAGGCUAUAUCAAAGUCAUGCACAUAUUACUACAAGCUCGAUGCAAUGUUGAUGCACAGGAUUUUGAUGGAUGGACACCUUUGCAUGGUGCAGCGCAUUGGGGUCAAUUGGAAGCUUGUAAACUUCUUGUUGAGAACGGCUGUGAUAUGGAUAUAAAAAACUAUGCUGAUCAAACUGCUUUUGAUAUUGCUGAUGCAGACAUUCUCAAAGCUCUUGAAAAUCUAAGAGAGCAACAAGCACUUAUCAUAAAGGAAAAUCCUCAAACAAAUAAUAAGAAGCAAUCAUCUAUACCAAAGAAACGUGUCUCAACAAGUACUGACAAUGCAAUAGCGGCGCAAGAAUCUACAGAAAUCUUUGAAGAAGAAACACCAAAUAAAGUUAAGAAGGUUGAAUUAGAAAUUCAAUCUGAUAAAGAAGAUUCCAACGCUAGUACAAACAGCGAUGUUGAAGCAACACGUGAAACACACAUGGAAGAGAGUGAUGGUGAAGGUGAAUCUGAGACUAGCUCAGAAUCACACUCUUCCACUUUCUCCAAUCAAUCUGAUAAGUCUAACCACGCGACAUGUCUUACAGAUGACGAAAAGAAAAAUAGAGUAAACAAAGAUGAAAAUGCACCACACAGUCCAAUAUCUCCAGUCGAAACUAAUAAAGUUCCUAAUCAGGCUCCAAUAUUGCCUCCAAAACAACAGACUGAUAAUAAUGAGGACGGUGUUGUACCAUCUUGGAGACGUUCAGGUUCCUUUCGAAAUAGAAUGCAAAAUGCUGAAACUAAUUCUACAUCUACAAAACUCGAGGAUAAGGAUAAUAAUAUUAAAAUACCAACAACAUCAAAUAAAGUUAGUGGGGAAUCCGAUGUGGUAUUAAGAAGAACGCAUAGUUUCGAGACAGAUGAGAAGUUUUAUGAGCAGUAUUUGGCAUUACGUGCCCGCAUCAAGGCGUUCUCGUGUCCUACCCUCCAUCGCUGCAAUGCAGCUACUCCUACUCACACCAAUGCUACAACUCGCUCUGCAUCGCUACGCGAAACACACAGAAAAAAAGACGUGAAAUUAAAUUUGGAAUUAUCAAGACUGCCACAAGGAAGCAAUACACUUUCACCAACAUCUGCAUCUAAAACAUUGGCAUCGAGUUUAUUGUCAUCCAUCACAACAACUACCACUGCCACUACAACAACAAGUCCUAUUCCAGUCAAUCAAAUUCGCAGUGUUCAACCAGUGGAAGCUGCAUCUACAGUUGUAUCGAAUACAAAUAAUGCAGUAGCAACUGCUCCUGGAACUCCUACUACACCAGGAGGGAGCAAGCUAAGUCCAGGAAAUAUCUUCAAGAAUUUCUUCAAAUCCUUCGUUCCACCGGUGCGCGAUGAGGAAAGUGAAACUCAAAGGAAAGCCCAUGCAAAGAGAGUAAGAGAAACUAGAAGAUCUACUCAAGGUGUGACGUUGGAUGAGAUCAAGAGCGCAGAACAAUUAGUAAAGAAAAAACAACAGAACAGCGAAUCACCGACGUUAACGCCGUCCACGCAGCCUACUACUACCGUCAGCAAUACAGCUUCGAUCACAGCUACGAUAACAACCGCAACCUCCACUACUGCAACCGUGACUACUGCAAAUAAAAUCUCUGAAGAAUCUAAUUUACCUGAGAGACGGCCAUCUUGGAGAUUAAGAGUAGACAAUGGAAGCAAGUUUCAGUUGGAGGAUGCUAAUAAUAAGCCUACUGAUAAUACAACGGCCUAUAUGAGAAGACCGUCUGGUGGAACUAGUAUACCCAGACCAUCAUCAGCGCCAGUGGAAACUAUUGCCACUAGUAGCACAGAAGCCACAGUUACUUUACCCCUUAGGAGAUCCUUAAAGCAACCUGAUGAUAAAGAACAAGAUAAGGAAAAUGAUAGUAGAAACGCACAAGCUACACAAGCAGUUAUUCAAAGGAGACGUCGGCCUAAAAGAAGAUCGACAGGUGUUGUCCAUGUGGAUAUGGAUGAAAUUGAUCCAGAAAAGCAAGAUCUAACUGCCGGUGGUGAUUGCGACGAUUCGAAAAUUAAUCACAACGAAAGUGGAAACGAUCGUUCUGGGAGGGCCAAUAGAUUAGGUUCGAUAUCCUCGUUAUCAUCAGAAGCGUCAUCAACACCAAGCAGACUAAAGUCUAAUAGUUCCGAAAACGGCGAAUUAGAUUAUAAGAAAUUAUAUGAAGAAUCUCAGGCCGAAAACGAAAGGUUGAAGGAAAAACUGAAGCGCUCCGACGAACAAUUAAAGGAAGUCAGAAGUUUACUAGAAAAAAUGCAAAUCAACCAAAAUAAAGUAAUUCUGUCUGAGGCAGAGAAAAGGGAAAGGCGAGCUAUGGAAAGGAAACUCUCAGAAAUGGAGGAAGAAUUGAAGCAAUUGCAAAAGCUCAAAGCUGAAAAUGAGAGAUUGAAAGCCGAAAAUCGGGCACUUACCCGCGUCGUAUCCAAACUCACCAAUACUAAAUAGAUUGUAAAUAGAUCCGAGGAUAAAUUGUCUUCCAAACGGCGCACACGGUACAAAUGGUGAUGGACCAACUAAAAUGCGAAA